UAGAGUUUGAUCCUGGCUCAGAUUGAACGCUGGCGGCAGGCCUAACACAUGCAAGUCGAGCGGUAGCGGGCCUGACCACUCUCGAGUGGUUCAGGCGCCGACGAGCGGCGGACGGGUGCGUAACACGUAGGAAUCUGCCCGGUAGUGGGGGAUAGCCCGGAGAAAUUCGGAUUAAUACCGCAUACGCCCUAAGGGGGAGAGCAGGGGAUCGGUUCGCCGACCUUGCGCUAUCGGAUGAGCCUGCGUCGGAUUAGCUAGUUGGUGGGGUAAAGGCCUACCAAGGCGACGAUCCGUAGCUGGUCUGAGAGGAUGAUCAGCCACACUGGGACUGAGACACGGCCCAGACUCCUACGGGAGGCAGCAGUGGGGAAUAUUGCACAAUGGGCGAAAGCCUGAUGCAGCCAUGCCGCGUGUGUGAAGAAGGCCCUAGGGUUGUAAAGCACUUUCAGUGGGGAGGAAAGGUCGAAGGUUAAUACCUUUUGGCUGUGACGUUACCCACAGAAGAAGCACCGGCUAACUCCGUGCCAGCAGCCGCGGUAAUACGGAGGGUGCGAGCGUUAAUCGGAAUUACUGGGCGUAAAGCGUGCGUAGGCGGCCAUUUAAGUUGGAUGUGAAAGCCCCGGGCUCAACCUGGGAACUGCAUCCCAAACUGGGUGGCUUGAGUGCGAGAGAGGAGUGUGGAAUUUCCUGUGUAGCGGUGAAAUGCGUAGAUAUAGGAAGGAACACCAGUGGCGAAAGCGACACUCUGGCUUGACACUGACGCUGAGGUACGAAAGCGUGGGGAGCAAACAGGAUUAGAUACCCUGGUA
rnacentral:rRNA from 1 species